rnacentral:misc_RNA from 1 species
AUGCUCUUGAAUUCCACGUACUGACUUGCUCCAGACUUUAUCAAAAAAUCGAUGGACCUAUCCGCACAAAAUAAAACCCUAGGUCCCGAUAAAUCGAGAUAGAACUUAUUAGAGUUUUCUUCCAAAAGUUGAUUGGAAAAUGAGGAAAUCUCGACGUCUGAAUAGAGAGGCCGGGUGGUAAGAUUUUCGACGGAGAAAUCGUCGCUGCUGGUUACGGUGUUCGAGGAGGACGGCGGCGGUAGAGAAGUAGAAUUGGCAUUGAGGAAAGAGGUGAGUUGUGGGAUAGUGAGAGAGGCGAAGUGGGAUCCAUAGAAGUUGUUUUGGUCGAUGUGAAGUACGGAUUUUCCGGAAGCUGAGGCUGCGGCGGCGAUCACGGACUCUGGUAGGCCGGUUCCGACGACAAUAAGGUCGAAGGUCGUUGGAUCAAUUGGCGGAUACAAUGGAGGUUCAUUCAUGGCGGCACAAGAGAGGGAGUCGUUGGGUGAUAGUCGCCAACAGCCACGGCUCGCAAGAACAAGAAGAACCGUUGCUGUUGAUUGCU